GGGUAUCUAUGAUGUAUAUUUUAUAGUACUUGGGUAUAUUUCAAGCUGUUUCUGGUAAUCAGAAUUGAUCCGUAAGAUGGCAAAAGUUAAGUCUAUUAAAAGCACAAAUCAAAACGACUUCACACCAAGAAUAUAAAAAUGUCCAUUGCUGUAAUUGAAUUAACUAAUUAGUUUAUAAUUAGUUGAUUGGCAUAAUUUUAACCCAAAAAUCCUCAAACGUGGUCGAACUAAAUUAGUCAAGAACUGUAAACUGAAUAGAUUUUUUUAUAUAUAGACAUAUACACCACCUC